rnacentral:rRNA from 1 species
UACGGGGGGAGCAAGCGUUGUUCGGAUUUACUGGGCGUAAAGGGCGCGUAGGCGGUCGUGACAAGUCACUUGUGAAAUCUCCGGGCUUAACUCGGAACGGUCAAGUGAUACUGUCGGACUAGAGUACAGAAGGGGCAACUGGAAUUCUCGGUGUAGCGGUGAAAUGCGUAGAUAUCGAGAGGAACACCGAUGGCGAAGGCAAUCCCCUGGGCCUGCACUGACGCUCAUGCACGAAAGCGUGGGGAGCAAACAGG